CAGCCGCCACGGUAAAACGAAGGGGGCUAGCGUUGUUCGGAUUUACUGGGCGUAAAGCGCACGUAGGCGGACUUUUAAGUCAGGGGUGAAAUCCCGGGGCUCAACCCCGGAACUGCCUUUGAUACUGGAAGUCUUGAGUAUGGUAGAGGUGAGUGGAAUUCCGAGUGUAGAGGUGAAAUUCGUAGAUAUUCGGAGGAACACCAGUGGCGAAGGCGGCUCACUGGACCAUUACUGACGCUGAGGUGCGAAAGCGCGGGGAGCAAACAGGAUUAGAUACCCCAGUAGUCCCUGUCUCUUAUAC
rnacentral:rRNA from 1 species